UACAGAGGGUGCAAGCGUUAAUCGGAAUUACUGGGCGUAAAGCGUGCGUAGUCGGUUAUCUAAGUCGGAUGUGAAAUCCCCGGGCUCAACCUGGGAAUUGCAUUCGAUACUGGAUAGCUAGAGUUCGGCAGAGGGAAGUGGAAUUUCGGGUGUAGCGGUGAAAUGCGUAGAUAUCCGAAGGAACAUCAGUGGCGAAAGCGACUUCCUGGACCAGGACUGACGAUCAGGCACGAAAGCGUGGGGAGCAAACAGG
rnacentral:rRNA from 1 species